UGCAGCUUGACUUUGGAAAAGAAACAAAAACCCUCUGAUGUGGGCACAGCAGCCACAUCACGCAGCCCCAUGAUGCCCAACUUAAGAGCUCCCCGCGGGCCCUCACUGGGUAAGGGAAGUAAGCAGCCCAGAUCCUGCUACCCAGGAGACCACCUGCCACCACUUCAGAAAAGCCAGGGGAUCUCCCUGCACUCUAGGUCUGAGGCCAUUUGUGAAGACGUAGCUCAGGUACAGAUUCAGCAGGCACAUUCCCCGCUGACCCCAGAGCAGCUUUCUGGCCUCACCCAGCUCCGGGGCCUCUGUGCACCAUGGUGCAGACCUUCCAGGCCUCGGCCACCCAGGCACCUCUGUCUUCCUGCUGAGGGGGGCUUCUCCCAGCCCCACUGGUGGGUCCCUGGGGCCCAUCCCUGGAUGAAGGAGAAGUUCAGAGCUCCUCCCACGACGGAGAGAGGCCCACCUCUUCCCCGGACAGGAGAUAACG
rnacentral:lncRNA from 1 species